rnacentral:rRNA from 1 species
UCGAGCGAGAAAGGGUAGCAAUACCUGAGUAAAGCGGCGCACGGGUUGAGUAACACGUGGGUAACCUGCCUCGGAGUGGGGAAUAACACCGGGAAACCGGUGCUAAUACCGCAUAUGCCGACGGGGUCUUUGGAUCCUGCCGGGAAAGGAGUAAUUCGCUCCGAGAGGGGCCCGCGGCUGAUUAGCUAGUUGGUGGGGUAAUGGCUCACCAAGGCUACGAUCAGUAUCCGGUCUGAGAGGACGGUCGGACACACUGGAACUGAGACACGGUCCAGACUCCUACGGGAGGCAGCAGUGGGGAAUUUUUGGCAAUGGGGGAAACCCUGACCAAGCAACGCCGCGUGGAUGAUGAAGUAUUUCGGUACGUAAAAUCCUUUCGACGGGGACGAAACCGCAAGGUUGACGGUACCCGUAGAAGAAGCCCCGGCUAACUCCGUGCCAGCAGCCGCGGUAAUACGGGGGGGGCAAGCGUUGUUCGGAAUUACUGGGCGUAAAGGGCGCGUAGGUGGCCUGCUAA